rnacentral:rRNA from 1 species
UACGGAGGGUGCAAGCGUUAAUCGGAAUUACUGGGCGUAAAGCGUGCGCAGGCGGUUGUUUAAGUCUGUCGUGAAAUCCCCGGGCUCAACCUGGGAAUGGCGAUGGAUACUGGGCAGCUAGAGUGUGUCAGAGGAUGGUGGAAUUCCCGGUGUAGCGGUGAAAUGCGUAGAGAUCGGGAGGAACAUCAGUGGCGAAGGCGGCCAUCCGGGACAACACUGACGCUGAAGCACGAAAGCGUGGGGAGCAAACAGG